UACACUUGUGCCGAUGUUUUGAUACCUU
rnacentral:piRNA from 1 species